GCACUGCUGAUGAGUCCCGUACUAGGACGAAAUGAUCGUCCAGUGC
rnacentral:hammerhead_ribozyme from 1 species